CGCCUGGGGAGUACGGCCGCAAGGUUAAAACUCAAAUGAAUUGACGGGGGCCCGCACAAGCGGUGGAGCAUGUGGUUUAAUUCGACGCAACGCGAAGAACCUUACCUGGCCUUGACAUGCAGAGAACUUUCCAGAGAUGGAUUGGUGCCUUCGGGAACUCUGACACAGGUGCUGCAUGGCCGUCGUCAGCUCGUGUCGUGAGAUGUUGGGUUAAGUCCCGUAACGAGCGCAACCCCUAUCCCUAGUUGCUAGCAGUUCGGCUGAGAACUCUAGGGAGACUGCCGGUGACAAACCGGAGAAGGUGGGGAUGACGUCAGGUCAUCAUGGCCCUUACGCCAGGCUACACACGUGCUACUAUGGCGCGCACAGAGGCUGCAAACCCGCGAGGGGAGCCAAUCUCACAAAACGCGUCGUAGUCCGGAUCGCAGUCUGCACUCGACUGCGUGAGUCGAUCGCUAGUAUCGUGAUCAGAU
rnacentral:rRNA from 1 species